rnacentral:rRNA from 1 species
AUGGUUGUGCAUGAUCUCUCGGAUCUUGAUGCGAUCUUCACGGAGGAAGAGGUGUGGAAUACUAUAAAGGAGCUGCAUCCGGAGCGGGCGCCUAGCCCGGAUGGGUUUAGCGCUGCUUUCUAUCAAAAACCGUGGCCCACGAUCAAGAACGAGGUGAUGGCGGUGUUCCUAAAGCUCUACGUGGGUGAUGGGCGAGGCUUUGGUAAGCUUAAACGCACUCAUAUUGUGUUGAUUCCGAAGAAGCCAGAUGACGAGGAAGUGGGGGGCUAUCGCCCCAUCAGUCUCCCUCAUAGUGUGGCCAAGAUUUUUGCUAAGUUGCUUGCGAAUAGAGCCUGGAGAAGAAUGAAAGAGUGUCACGGCGAAUCAGUCCGCCUUCAUAUGUGGUAG